rnacentral:rRNA from 1 species
GUCGAGGGGUAUAGUAGCAAUACUAGAGACCGGCGCACGGGUGCGUAACGCGUAUGCAAUCUACCUUUUGCAGAGGGAUAGCCCAGAGAAAUUUGGAUUAAUACCUCAUAGUAUAACGACUCGGCAUCGAGAUGUUAUUAAAGUCACAACGGCAAAAGAUGAGCAUGCGUCCCAUUAGUUAGUUGGUAAGGUAACGGCUUACCAAGACUACGAUGGGUAGGGGUCCUGAGAGGGAGAUCCCCCACACUGGUACUGAGACACGGACCAGACUCCUACGGGAGGCAGCAGUGAGGAAUAUUGGACAAUGGGCGCAAGCCUGAUCCAGCCAUGCCGCGUGCAGGAUGACGGUCCUAUGGAUUGUAAACUGCUUUUGCACAGGAAGAAACAACGCUACGUGUAGCGUCUUGACGGUACUGUGAGAAUAAGGAUCGGCUAACUCCGUGCCAGCAGCCGCGGUAAUACGGAGGAUCCAAGCGUUAUCCGGAAUCAUUGGGUUUAAAGGGUCCGUAGGCGGUCUUAUAAGUCAGUGGUGAAAUCUCCCCGCUCAACGGGGAAACGGCCAUUGAUACUGUAGGACUUGAAUUAUUAGGAAGUAACUAGAAUAUGUAGUGUAGCGGUGAAAUGCUUAGAGAUUACAUGGAAUACCAAUUGCGAAGGCAGGUUACUACUAAUGGAUUGACGCUGAUGGACGAAAGCGUGGGUAGCGAACAGGAUUAGAUACCCUGGUAGUCCACGCCGUAAACGAUGGAUACUAGCUGUUGGGCGCAAGUUCAGUGGCUAAGCGAAAGUGAUAAGU